rnacentral:lncRNA from 7 species
UGACUCAACAGUUCCCAUACAGCUCCGAAGACUACACAACCAUUCAUAAGCGGCUCACUCACAGGAAGGAAAUUUCAAACUUAAUUCUCUCGACCAAGAGGUGUCUGGAUUUAUGAGGAUCUUGGCUACGCGGGAGCCCCAUGUCUGCUUUCACUGAAAAAGAAAAGACAGUACAUCUUGCUCCAGGGCUUCUGGAGGAGCCACGCACAGAGGUGUGACCUGGUACUUCUGUAGACUUGGCUGUUUCUCGUUACGAACAUGAAAAGAAUGUUUACACUUGCUGAUGGAUCUCAGAGGACACAGAAGUCAAAUUGUCUAGAAAAUUAAAUGUCCUCCCAGAAGUACACAGAAUUCCCUCAGGUCUUACCUAGGUCUUUUCAUCUGGAGAUUCCAAAGUUCUUUCAUAAUGCUUCAAGAGCUGCUUUCAAGUUGACAUCUGGGACACUGCUCCUUUAAAACUACUUUCUAGAAAUAUUUUGGUGCACAACAUCACACAAGUUAGGUCUUGUAAAAGUGGAAGUAUUGUUGUUUAAAGCCAGAAGAAUAGUAACAUUCUCCAUGAAUCACAAAAGUCUGAAAAAUAGAACUGUAUAAGAUUGAAAUUACUCAGAAACUUAAAGUCUGAAAAUUCUUUUCUCACAAAAGCUUUAAUAAUGAUACUCUGGGGAAAAUAUUGGCUGAGGAAGCAGAUGCAGAGAAUAUAAAUCAAUUCACACAACAAUUUGAAAAUGUGGAACAAUUUCUGAGGCCAGAAAUCAACUUCCCAGUGGAAAGGAGGCACAAAUGAAAUAGGCACAUGACCCAAGUUAGGAUGAAGGCAAAGCAGAGAGCUGAUUGUAUAUGUAAUGUCCAUAACCUCAAACUCAAGUACCCAAUGCAAACAACUCCAUGAAAUAAAUGCAUAUGCCUGGUAUGAAAUACUGUGACAAUCUUGUCCAUGUGUUACGUACUUGAGCUAAUUUUUUUCUGAUUAAUGAAGAAAAUUUAAGAACUGUUUGUACUUUUUUAUGUGAGAGAAAAGGACCUGUAACUAAGUUGCUGUCUGGAUUAACUGUUGAGUAAUAUGUGAUAGGAUCAAAGAAAUUAUGCAUACAAAUGAUAUAAUAAUCCUUUCAUCUGAUUUUUUUGUCUGCCAGAGUUUUCAUGUGUUUCUAAGUAACAUAUCAUUCACAUGUUUUGUAAAAGUAGACCAGGAGAAGCUGGUCAACUGGACAACUAUAGUAAGGCUCAUCUUGAUAUGACAUUAAGAAUCUCACAUGAAGUUGUACCUACUACACAUGGAUAUUGCUCAAUAGUUGCUUUUUUUUUUUUUUAAUACUUGAAACAACAAUUUCACAGAUGUUGCUC